AGCACUUGUGUGUGUGUCUUUGUUUAAUUUGUAACAAAGCCUUACAGACAGGUGCAAACAGUAAAUCCUCUUUUGCAACCCAGAACUCAUCACUGAUAUGAGAUUUUGGUACAUGUAAGAAGUGAUAUG
ensembl:snoRNA